GUCUCCUAUCAAUAUCCUUUCAAGAGACACUUCACAAGGCUAAGGUCUGACCUUACCCACCCCCUGAGCAAGAACACUGGCGACAGUGGUGAGAAAAAACUCCCUGGAAGAAUUAAAGUGUACGAAGAAAUGAGGCUGGCACA